GACGAACGCUGGCGGCGUGCUUAACACAUGCAAGUCGAACGGAAAGGCCCUGCUUUUGUGGGGUGCUCGAGUGGCGAACGGGUGAGUAACACGUGAGUAACCUGCCCUUGACUUUGGGAUAACUUCAGGAAACUGGGGCUAAUACCGGAUAGGAGCUCCUGCUGCAUGGUGGGGGUUGGAAAGUUUCGGCGGUUGGGGAUGGACUCGCGGCUUAUCAGCUUGUUGGUGGGGUAGUGGCUUACCAAGGCUUUGACGGGUAGCCGGCCUGAGAGGGUGACCGGCCACAUGGGGCUUGGGAACCGGCCCAGACUCCUACGGGGGGCAGAAGGGGGAAUUAUUGCACAAGGGGCGGAGGCUGAAUGCAGCAACGCCGGGUGCGGGAUGACGCCCUUCGGGUUGUAACCGCUUUCGCCUGUGACGAAGCGUGAGUGACGGUAAUGGGUAAAGAAGCACCGGCUAAUUACGUG
rnacentral:rRNA from 1 species